GACGAACGCUGGCGGCGUGCUUAACACAUGCAAGUCGAACGGAAAGGUCUCUUCGGAGACACUCGAGUGGCGAACGGGUGAGUAACACGUGGGCAAUCUGCCCUGCACUUCGGGAUAAGCCUGGGAAACUGGGUCUAAUACCGGAUAUGACCUCGAGGCGCAUGCCUCGUGGUGGAAAGCUUUUGCGGUGUGGGAUGGGCCCGCGGCCUAUCAGCUUGUUGGUGGGGUGANGGCCUACCAAGGCGACGACGGGUAGCCGGCCUGAGAGGGUGUCCGGCCACACUGGGACUGAGAUACGGCCCAGACUCCUACGGGAGGCAGCAGUGGGGAAUAUUGCACGAUGGGCGCAAGCCUGAUGCAGCGACGCCGCGUGGGGAUGACGGCCU
rnacentral:rRNA from 1 species